GUCAAUGGACGAAAGUCUGAACCAGCCAUGCCGCGUGCAGGAUGACGGCCCUAUGGGUUGUAAACUGCUUUUAUACAGGAAGAAAAACUUUCUCGUGAGAGAGCUUGACGGUACGGUAAGAAUAAGGAUCGGCUAACUCCGUGCCAGCAGCCGCGGUAAUACGGAGGAUCCAAGCGUUAUCCGGAAUCAUUGGGUUUAAAGGGUCCGUAGGUGGACUAAUAAGUCAGUGGUGAAAGUCUGCAGCUUAACUGUAGAAUUGCCAUUGAUACUGUUAGUCUUGAAUUGUUGUGAAGUAACUAGAAUAUGUAGUGUAGCGGUGAAAUGCAUAGAUAUUACAUAGAACACCGAUCGCGAAGGCAGGUGGCCAACCAUGUACUGACGCUGAUGGACGAAAGCGUGGGUAGCGAACGGGAUUAGAUACCCUGGUAGUCUACGCCGUAAACGAUGGUUACUAGCUGUCCGGCCUAAUUGAGGGCUGGGUGGUUAAGCGAAAGUGAUAAGUAACCCACCUGGGGAGUACGUUCGCAAGAAUGAAACUCAAAGGAAUUGACGGGGGCCCGCACAAGCGGUGGAGCAUGUGGUUUAAUUCGAUGAUACGCGAGGAACCUUACC
rnacentral:rRNA from 1 species